rnacentral:rRNA from 1 species
GAUGAACGCUGGCGGCGUGCUUAACACAUGCAAGUCGAAUGAGAAAGCACCUUCGGGUGUGAGUAGAGUGGCGAACGGGUGAGUAACACGUGAGCAACCUACCCUUCACAUCGGGAUAACACAGAGAAAUCUGUGCUAAUACCGGAUAUUCCAUGGACACCACAUGGUGACCUUGGGAAAGCUUUCGCGGUGAGGGAUGGGCUCGCGGUCCAUUAGGUAGUUGGUGGGGUAAUGGCCUACCAAGCCUUCGAUGGAUAGCCGGGUUGAGAGACCGACCGGCCACAUUGGGACUGAGACACGGCCCAGACUCCUACGGGAGGCAGCAGUGGGGAAUUUUGCACAAUGGGCGAAAGCCUGAUGCAGCAACGCCGCGUGCGGGAUGAAGGCCUUCGGGUUGUAAACCGCUUUCAGCAGGAAAGAAACUGACGGUACCUGCAGAAGAAGCCCCGGCUAACUACGUGCCAGCCGCCGCGGUAAUAC